rnacentral:rRNA from 1 species
UACGAAGGGGGCUAGCGUUGCUCGGAAUUACUGGGCGUAAAGCGCACGUAGGCGGAUUGUUAAGUCGGGGGUGAAAUCCUGGAGCUCAACUCCAGAACUGCCUUCGAUACUGGCGAUCUCGAGUCCGGGAGAGGUGAGUGGAACUGCGAGUGUAGAGGUGAAAUUCGUAGAUAUUCGCAAGAACACCAGUGGCGAAGGCGGCUCACUGGCCCGGUACUGACGCUGAGGUGCGAAAGCGUGGGGAGCAACAGG